AUCUCGGUGGUUCAGUGGUAGAAUGCUCGCCUGCCACGCGGGCGGCCCGGGUUCGAUUCUCGGUCGAUGGA
rnacentral:tRNA from 1 species